rnacentral:tRNA from 1 species
UGGAAUGUGGUGUUGUAAAGGAAACACAGAGGAUUUUGAGUUCUUAGAUAUAGGUUCAAUUCCUAUUGUUCUAG